rnacentral:rRNA from 1 species
UACGUAGGUGGCAAGCGUUAUCCGGAAUCAUUGGGCGUAAAGAGCGCGCAGGUGGUUAAUUAAGUCUGAUGUGAAAGCCCACGGCUUAACCGUGGAGGGUCAUUGGAAACUGGUUGACUUGAGUGCAGAAGAGGGAAGUGGAAUUCCAUGUGUAGCGGUGAAAUGCGUAGAGAUAUGGAGGAACACCAGUGGCGAAGGCGGCUUCCUGGUCUGCAACUGACACUGAGGCGCGAAAGCGUGGGGAGCAAACAGG